AUUGAACGCUGGCGGCAGGCCUAACACAUGCAAGUCGAGCGGGGUUUUCGGACCUAGCGGCGGACGGGUGAGUAAUGCGUAAGAAGCUACCCGAUAGAGGGGGAUACCAGUUGGAAACGACUGUUAAUACCGCAUAAUGUCUACGGACCAAAGUGUGGGACCUUCGGGCCACAUGCUAUCGGAUGUGCCUACGUGGGAUUAGCUAGUUGGUGAGGUAAUGGCUCACCAAGGCGACGAUCCCUAGCUGGUUUGAGAGGAUGAUCAGCAACACGGGAACUGAGACACGGUCCAGACUCCUACGGGAGGCAGCAGUGGGGAAUAUUGGACAAUGGGCGCAAGCCUGAUCCAGCCAUGCCGCGUGUGUGAAGAAGGCCUUCGGGUUGUAAAGCACUUUCAGUUGGGAGGAAGCGUUGUGUGUUAAUAGUACACAGCGUUGACGUUACCAACAGAAGAAGCACCGGCUAACUCUGUGCCAGCAGCCGCCGUAAAAC
rnacentral:rRNA from 1 species